CCCUUAGAUGUUCUGGGCAGCACGCGCGCUACAAUGGUCUUCGCAAACGGAUGCAUUCUCGAAGGAGAACGCGAAUCUUGGAAUCUAUGCCUUGGUCGGGACAGUUGCUUGCAAUUUUUCGACUCGAACCAGGAAUUCCUUGUAAUCGUGAUUCAUCACAUCACGAUGAAUACGUCCCUGCCCUUUGUACACACCGCCCGUCGCUCCUACCGAUCGAAGAGUUAGGUGAAUUGUUUUGAUCGAUAAGAUUUGACUAUGGUCAACUCUCGUUGUGAAAUUCUGUGAAUCUGACUGUUUAGAGGAAGGAAAAGUCGUAACA
rnacentral:rRNA from 1 species